ACAAUGGGCGGGUUUAAAACGAAGAAAGUGGGUGGCCGUUAGUCCCGGAGCCACACAGGAAGUUCGACUUUUACUACAAAUUUUAAAACGUGUGAACUUCACAAAGCACUUACUGAAACCCUGACCGAGAACUACAAGGGGCAAUUUCUAAAUAGUACCUGAUCUCCUGUGCCACCGUCUUGCUGCAGAAACUCGCGUUGACAGCUGUCCAAGGCAGCCAUUUCCUCUUGUUUCACUGGCUGCUCUGGGGCUACAUGGCACGGAAAGAAGGAAUCGGAGCAAAACAAGAUAAGUUCAAUCUCCACACGGAAAAGGGCAGCCCAUUGCAGAGAACCUUUCCUGUGGCGGUCCUCAUGAGAGCUAGUUCCAUCAUAGAGGUUGAUGAUUUUUGCAACUUCACUUGAAGAAACUUUUAAAGUUCUUGAAGUUUUCCGGAUUGACUGACCUUCAUCAUUACUUUAAGACAUGGACUGUUGUUUCUCUUUGCUUAUUUGAGCUGUUCUUGCCAUAAUAUAAACUUGGUAUUUUACCAAAUAGGGCCAUCUUCUGUAUACCACCCCUACCUUGUAGGGGUGGUAUACACAACUGAUUGGCUCAAAUGCAUUAAGAAUGAAAGAAAUUCCGCAAAUGUACUUUUAACAAGGCACACCUGUUAAUUGAAAUGCAUUCCAGGUGACUACCUCAUGCAGCUGGUUGAGAGAAUGCCAAGUGUGUGCAAAGCUGUCAUCAAGGCAACGGGUGACUAUUUGAAGAAUCUCAAAUAUAUAUAAAAUAUAUUUUCAUUUGUUUAAUGCUUUUUUUGGUUACUACAUGACUCCAUGUGUUAUUUCAUAGUUUUGAUGUCUUAGCUAUUAUUCUACAAUGUAGAAAAUAGUAAAAAAUAAAGAAAAACCCUUGAAUGAGUAGGUGACUGGUACUGUAUAUGUUCAUUGUUCAUCAGUUAUGUUUGGACAGUCUGACAUUGGUUGUGAUUAUGUUAAAAGGAGCACCAAAAGUAAAACAAACCAUUUUUCACUGUUUUACUAUAUGUACAUGUUGUAUUUUUCUUUCUCUAAUGAAUAAAUUGCUCAUUUAUAUAAUGGUA